GAUGAACGCUGGCGGCGUGCCUAAUACAUGCAAGUCGAGCGAACGGACGAGAAGCUUGCUUCUCUGAUGUUAGCGGCGGACGGGUGAGUAACACGUGGAUAACCGACCUAUAAGACUGGGAUAACUUCGGGAAACCGGAGCUAAUACCGGAUAAUAUUUUGAACCGCAUGGUUCAAAAGUGAAAGACGGUCUUGCUGUCACUUAUAGAUGUAUCCGCGCUGCAUUAGCUAGUUGGUAAGGUAACGGCUUACCAAGGCAACGAUGCAUAGCCGAUCUGAGAGGGUGAUCGGCCACACUGGAACUGAGACACGGUCCAGACUCCUACGGGAGGCAGCAGUAGGGAAUCUUCCGCAAUGGGCGAAAGCCUGACGGAGCAACGCCGCGUGAGUGAUGAAGGUCUUCGGAUCGUAAAACUCUGUUAGUAGGGAAGAACAUAUGUGUAAGUAACUGUGCACAUCUUGACGGUACCUACAGAGAAAGCCACGGCUAACUACGUG
rnacentral:rRNA from 1 species